GUGCUGCCUAUGCUUCGAAUUGCAUUGUAGUGCUGUUGGAGAAUUUGUGAAUUGAAAAGAGAGUGCAAUCAAUCCUUUAUGGUUUUAAUGUGUUUUUUAGGGUUUAAGUCGUGAUCUUUCAUCUCUUGCUGGCAACGGUUUGGGAGUUGGGUCUCGGAGAAGGCUGGUGGAUGUCGAGGUUGUGUGCAGUCCACUCAGUCACCGAGCCCAAGUGUGAGUUUUUGCUUUGUUAAAAUUGCUGAGACUCGGGGAAAGACAGAGUAUACUGCUCGAUCACAGUUGGAUCAGUUUUAGGUGUUGGCUUCUGCUGACAUAUUUUCUCGUGUAGGGUUGUCGGUUAGGGUGGGUCACUCGACUCAGCUGGUGGAUGGGCUUCUCGAAUUGGGCUACAUUGUGGGGGGGGGGGGGGGGGGGAAAAAAAAAAAAAAAAAAAAAAAAAAAUGGCCAUAAAGCUAGUCUUCAUAUCCAUAGACAGAUUACAACUUGCCUCAAUAUAGUCGAAUUGCAUUUCCUCUAUGUUUUCUCAAUGGGAAUAACACGUUGUCUGAAACAUGGAAUAUCUGGUAUUCCUGGUUGAAAUGAGAGGAGUUGGGAAGGUCUCUAUGCCGUGUAUUGUCGUCUUCUAUAGCCUUGAAUCUUAGGUCGGCCCAUUCAGGAUCAUACCUCUGCUUGCACCCUGAUUCUUUCUGGUUCGAUUCGCCAUGUGAUGGGUUUCAACAGCUUGUGGACUUUAGAUCGCGUGAAACAAUUCUAUUCUUCUCUUCAUAAUAUGAUACUGGCAGACUCUAGACUAUUCCUAGAUUGCAAUACUUCUGGUUAGAUCCAAAGAGAAGAACUAGCAAAGAAGCGUAUGAGCAGAAUGAUACCAAACCAUGUAUUUUGUCAUGCUUUUAACAGGUGUGUAACAUGAAACCGCCGAGUUGAGCAAAUUCAAGCUCAACUUUCUCCAGCCAUUGUCAACGAUGAAUUUGUUUUCACCAAGAGAUAUAUUUUCACAUGAGAAUCAAUGAGUCUCAUGAGUGUUAAAUAUAUUGCUCUGACGUGCUUCCACAGUGGCUGAAUUCCCUCAACAGAAGCUGCAAUGAAACCUUAACACCAUCACUGAAAUGUCAUGGUUGGCUAGGUAUUGUUCGAGAUGUGUAUAACUUCAUCAAAAUUAACCCCACCUGGACUAAUUCAUGAGGAAUUAUCCAAGAUGGCAUUGGCUCAGCUGGGUUCACUCAAACUUAUCCAGGUUUCCAAGGAGACUCUUGCAAACUACAGCAAGAGAAUGCAUUCUGCUCUCUUCUGGUGGUUAAUAUUUAUCUUUUGAUAUUGUUAUCUGUAACAACAAUUCUAUUAAGUGUUUUUGUAGAUGCUAAUCACAAAUAAACAGUGAAUACAAUCGAUAAUUGCAUGAUUCUGCAUCUUGUUUGACUGAAACAUCUAUUUAGAAUAUUUAAAACAGAAGAUUUCAAUGUAAUCGAAUUGGAAUUUUAAAAUCAGGAAGAUAGCUGCAAUUUCUCUUUUCAGCGUAAGUGUUUUUAAAAUGUUUCAAAAAACCAAACAGAUAAAAUCAUAACCUCAAUAAAAUACUUGCGAAUUUCGAAAUAA